rnacentral:rRNA from 1 species
GGUUAAGCGACUAAGCGUACACGGUGGAUGCCCUGGCAGUCAGAGGCGAUGAAGGACGUGCUAAUCUGCGAAAAGCGUCGGUAAGGUGAUAUGAACCGUUACAGCCGGCGAUGUCCGAAUGGGGAAACCCAGUGCAAUUCGUUGCACUAUCGUUUGAUGAAUACAUAGUCAAACGAGGCGAACCGGGGGAACUGAAACAUCUAAGUACCCCGAGGAAAAGAAAUCAACCGAGAUUCCCCCAGUAGCGGCGAGCGAACGGGGAGCAGCCCGGAGUCUGAAUCAGCUUGUGUGUUAGUGGAAGCGUCUGGAAAGUCGCAGGGUACAGGGUGAUACUCCCGUACACUAAAACGCACAGGCUGUGAACUCGAAGAGUAGGGCGGGACACGUGGUAUCCUGUCUGAAUAUGGGGGGACCAUCCUCCAAGGCUAAAUACUCCUGACUGACCGAUAGUGAACCAGUACCGUGAGGGAAAGGCGAAAAGAACCCCGGCGAGGGGAGUGAAAAAGAACCUGAAACCGUGUACGUACAAGCAGUAGGAGCCCACUUGUUGGGUGACUGCGUACCUUUUGUAUAAUGGGUCAGCGACUUAUAUUCUGUAGCAAGGUUAACCGUAUAGGGGAGCCGCAGGGAAACCGAGUCUUAACUGGGCGUUAAGUUGCAGGGUAUAGACCCGAAACCCGGUGAUCUAGCCAUGGGCAGGUUGAAGGUUGGGUAACACUAACUGGAGGACCGAACCGACUAAUGUUGAAAAAUUAGCGGAUGACUUGUGGCUGGGGGUGAAAGGCCAAUCAAACCGGGAGAUAGCUGGUUCUCCCCGAAAGCUAUUUAGGUAGCGCCUCGUGAAUUCAUCUUCGGGGGUAGAGCACUGUUUCGGCUAGGGGGUCAUCCCGACUUACCAACCCGAUGCAAACUACGAAUACCGAAGAAUGUUAUCACGGGAGACACACGGCGGGUGCUAACGUCCGUCGUGAAGAGGGAAACAACCCAGACCGCCAGCUAAGGUCCCAAAGUCAUGGUUAAGUGGGAAACGAUGUGGGAAGGCCCAGACAGCCAGGAUGUUGGCUUAGAAGCAGCCAUCAUUUAAAGAAAGCGUAAUAGCUCACUGGUCGAGUCGGCCUGCGCGGAAGAUGUAACGGGGCUAAACCAUGCACCGAAGCUGCGGCAGCGACACUAUGUGUUGUUGGGUAGGGGAGCGUUCUGUAAGCCGUUGAAGGUGGCCUGUGAGGGUUGCUGGAGGUAUCAGAAGUGCGAAUGCUGACAUAAGUAACGAUAAUGCGGGUGAAAAACCCGCACGCCGGAAGACCAAGGGUUCCUGUCCAACGUUAAUCGGGGCAGGGUGAGUCGACCCCUAAGGCGAGGCCGAAAGGCGUAGUCGAUGGGAAACAGGUUAAUAUUCCUGUACUUGGUGUUACUGCGAAGGGGGGACGGAGAAGGCUAUGUUGGCCGGGCGACGGUUGUCCCGGUUUAAGCGUGUAGGUGUGUGUUCCAGGUAAAUCCGGUUCACUUUAACACUGAGGCGUGAUGACGAGGCACUACGGUGCUGAAGUGACAAAUGCCCUGCUUCCAGGAAAAGCCUCUAAGCAUCAGGUAACAUCAAAUCGUACCCCAAACCGACACAGGUGGUCAGGUAGAGAAUACCAAGGCGCUUGAGAGAACUCGGGUGAAGGAACUAGGCAAAAUGGUGCCGUAACUUCGGGAGAAGGCACGCUGAUAUGUAGGUGAAGUGAUUUACUCAUGGAGCUGAAAUCAGUCGAAGAUACCAGCUGGCUGCAACUGUUUAUUAAAAACACAGCACUGUGCAAACACGAAAGUGGACGUAUACGGUGUGACGCCUGCCCGGUGCCGGAAGGUUAAUUGAUGGGGUUAUCCGUAAGGAGAAGCUCUUGAUCGAAGCCCCGGUAAACGGCGGCCGUAACUAUAACGGUCCUAAGGUAGCGAAAUUCCUUGUCGGGUAAGUUCCGACCUGCACGAAUGGCGUAAUGAUGGCCAGGCUGUCUCCACCCGAGACUCAGUGAAAUUGAACUCGCUGUGAAGAUGCAGUGUACCCGCGGCAAGACGGAAAGACCCCGUGAACCUUUACUAUAGCUUGACACUGAACACUGGUCCUUGAUGUGUAGGAUAGGUGGGAGGCUUUGAAGCGUGGACGCCAGUCUGCGUGGAGCCAUCCUUGAAAUACCACCCUUUAAUGGCUGGUGUUCUAACGUGGGCCCCUAAUCGGGGUUGCGGACAGUGUCUGGUGGGUAGUUUGACUGGGGCGGUCUCCUCCUAAAGAGUAACGGAGGAGCACGAAGGUCAGCUAAUCCUGGUCGGACAUCAGGAGGUUAGUGCAAUGGCAUAAGCUGGCUUGACUGCGAGCGUGACGGCGCGAGCAGGUGCGAAAGCAGGUCAUAGUGAUCCGGUGGUUCUGAAUGGAAGGGCCAUCGCUCAACGGAUAAAAGGUACUCCGGGGAUAACAGGCUGAUACCGCCCAAGAGUUCAUAUCGACGGCGGUGUUUGGCACCUCGAUGUCGGCUCAUCACAUCCUGGGGCUGAAGUAGGUCCCAAGGGUAUGGCUGUUCGCCAUUUAAAGUGGUACGCGAGCUGGGUUUAGAACGUCGUGAGACAGUUCGGUCCCUAUCUGCCGUGGGCGCUGGAGAAUUGAGGGGGGCUGCUCCUAGUACGAGAGGACCGGAGUGGACGCAUCACUGGUGUUCGGGUUGUCAUGCCAAUGGCAUUGCCCGGUAGCUAAAUGCGGAAGAGAUAAGUGCUGAAAGCAUCUAAGUACGAAACUUGCCCCGAGAUGAGUUCUCCCUGACUCCUUGAGAGUCCUGAAGGAACGUUGAAGACGACGACGUUGAUAGGCCGGGUGUGUAAGCGCAGCGAUGCGUUGAGCUAACCGGUACUAAUGAACCGUGAGGCUUAACCUU